GGCACGGGAGCCUGAGCCCUGCUGCGGGCAGGGACACCCGUGUCCCGGGCCGCGAUGUCCGGCAAGGCCGAGUGGCGCAGUGCCGAGCGACGCGGCGGCCAUAAAAUAAAGCUCCGUUUAUAAUAAGUAGAUAAUGCAAUUCCUAGAGGCAAUCUGCAGGAAACUCUGCUGCAAAUUUUGAUAUCAAAAAGCCAUUUGGAAGAGGUCUGCAAAAUGGUCUGAAAAUGGCACCUAGGAAACAUAAGGAAAAGAUUAUUGAAUACCCUUGUAACAUCAAGCUGGAAAUCUUUUUUGAGGUGGGACCACCAUAUAAGACUAUUCAUAAAACUAUUGCCUGCAGGAGCUUAAUCCAUCUCUGCAGCCUGUGUUGAUGGCUCCAUGUCUCAGGUUAUGUACAUUAAGAGGAAAGGUGUCUGCUCUCAUCCUUUUCUCCAGAGAAAACACAGCGGUGAUGAAGAUCCGUUUGCAACAUAAACUCCCUGAUUUAAGUGUUGCCUGUCUGCUCAAAGGAAAAUAGAGAAAGCCAGGUGGAACCAUCCCAGAGACACAAAUUUGAUAUAUAUGCUGGCAGCUGGACCACUUUAUACAGUGAGCUUCCCAGCAAUCAGCUUAUCUACACUGUUAGGAAUAUGAAGAUAUUUUAGUAAUAAAGACCACUACCAAAUAAAAUGGGUUUCUUUUUCAUUUA